rnacentral:rRNA from 1 species
UACGAAGGGGGCUAGCGUUGCUCGGAAUUACUGGGCGUAAAGAGCGCGCAGGCGGUCGUUCAAGUCGAGUGUGAAAGCCCCCGGCUCAACUGGGGAGGGUCACUCGAUACUGAUCGACUUGAAGGCAGGAGAGGGAAGCGGAAUUCCCGGUGUAGUGGUGAAAUGCGUAGAUAUCGGGAGGAACACCAGUGGCGAAGGCGGCUUCCUGGCCUGUUCUUGACGCUGAGGCGCGAAAGCUAGGGGAGCAAACGGG